rnacentral:rRNA from 1 species
AACGAACGCUGGCGGCAUGCCUAACACAUGCAAGUCGAACGAGACCUUCGGGUCUAGUGGCGCACGGGUGCGUAACGCGUGGGAACCUGCCCUUAGGUUCGGACUAACUCCCCGAAAGGGGUGUUAAUACCGGAUAAUGUCUUCGGACCAAAGAUUUAUCGCCUUUGGAUGGGCCCGCGUUGGAUUAGCUAGUUGGUAGGGUAAAAGCCUACCAAGGCGACGAUCCAUAGCUGGUCUGAGAGGAUGAUCAGCCACACUGGGACUGAGACACGGCCCAGACUCCUACGGGAGGCAGCAGUGGGGAAUAUUGGACAAUGGGCGAAAGCCUGAUCCAGCAAUGCCGCGUGAGUGAUGAAGGCCUUAGGGUUGUAAAGCUCUUUUACCCGGGAUGAUAAUGACAGUACCGGGAGAAUAAGCGCCGGCUAACUCCGUG